rnacentral:rRNA from 1 species
GACGAACGCUGGCGGCGUGCUUAACACAUGCAAGUCGAACGAUGAAGAAAAGAAUCGAAGCUUCGGCAGAAAUUCAUUUCGGAUUAGUGGCAGACGGGUGAGUAACGCGUGAGCAACCUACCUCUUACAAAGGGAUAGCCUCGGGAAACCGGGAUUAAUACCAUAUAACAUUGCGACGAAGCAUUUCGAUGCAAUCAAAGCUACGGCGGUUAGAGAUGGGCUCGCGUCCCAUUAACCGGAUGGUGAGGUAACGGCUCACCAUAGUGACGAUGGGUAACCGGCCUGAGAGGGUGAACGGUCACACUGGAACUGAGACACGGUCCAGACUCCUACGGGAAGCAGCAGUGGGGAAUAUUGCACAAUGGAGGGAACUCUGAUGCAGCGACGCCGCGUGAGUGAUGAAGGAAUUCGUUUCGUAAAACUCUGUUCUAUGGGAAGAAAAGGACUGUACCAUAGGAGAAAGCUCCGGCUAAAUACGUG